UGGGGAAUAUUGGACAAUGGGGGAAACCCUGAUCCAGCAACGCCGCGUGGAGGAUGAAGGUCUUCGGAUUGUAAACUCCUGUUAGGGGGGACGAAGGGAUGUCGGCGAACAGUCGGCAAACUUGACGGUACCCCCAGAGGAAGCCCCGGCUAACUCUGUGCCAGCAGCCGCGGUAAUACAGAGGGGGCAAGCGUUAUUCGGAAUUAUUGGGCGUAAAGGGCGCGUAGGCGGCCUUGUAAGUCUUGGGUGA
rnacentral:rRNA from 1 species